CAAAACUACAGUUAAUAUCAGUAACGUCAUUCUGACUAGUCAAAACUACAGUUAAAGAUAUCUGUUAUUCAGUCUUGACAAAUCAAAAGUGGUUCUGGGACAGUAACGUACCUGGCUAACCAGCUAUUGAAGCUAGUUAACACUACUACGAGCCCCGUGUCAUCAUUUCUGGACAAGGAAUCUCAGGCUGAGCUCAGUGAAAAAGUGUUCCACUCGCUGGGACAGAAAUAAAUACUCAAGUCGAGUUUGAGUAUUCAAGGUGCAGUUCUGGGUCCCAACAACAAAGGAAGGUGAAGAUAGAAUUGAUGACCACUCAGACUCAUUUCUGACAACGAGGAAGAGUAAAGCUUCCAUUUUUGCUUGUGUUAUUGUAUUUUGAGGGUUGGAUAAUAUUUAUUCUUGUUUUAUCAGUUUAUUUAAAAAAAAACAUGAUUUUUCACAAUUUCUCACCAUUAG
ensembl:lncRNA